GACGAACCGUGCGAACGUUAUUCGGAGUCACUGGGCUUAAAGGGCGCGUAGGCGGGCGGCCAAGUCAGGGGUGAAAUCGUUCGGCCCAACCGGACAAGGGCCCCUGAUACUGGCUGUCUCGAGGGAGGUAGGGGUCGAUGGAACUUCCGGUGGAGCGGUGAAAUGCGUAGAUAUCGGGAGGAACACCGGUGGCGAAGGCGGUUCUCUGGGCCUUACCUGACGCUGAGGAGCGAAA
rnacentral:rRNA from 1 species